UUUAUUCUUUAGUGUGAUAGCUGGUGAGAUGUAUAAAUAGAUGUUUCAGUGGGCAUUCAGGCACACCAAUUUGUUUUUCGGCUCAUCCGUUAUGGAGAGCUUCAGGAAAUCUGCUGGUAUGCUUACGUUGAUAGACUUUUCUGUGAAGAAUAUCAGAAAGAGAGAAAUCCAUUUCGAGUCAACAUGCAUGCUGAGAUGUCAAAAGACACAGUGCACAAAUAGCUCCGCUUUGUGUUUUUUUAUGCAAAGUAUUGGCAAGUAUCUGUGUUCCAGCAUCACUGAUUCAGAC
ensembl:lncRNA